AGACAGAGUCUCGCUAGUACAGUGGCGCGAUCUCAGCUCACUGCAACCUCCACCUCCUGGAUUCAAGCCAUUCUUCAUGCCCAGCUAAUUUUUGUAUUUUUAGUAGCAACGGGGUUUUGCUAUGUUGACCAGGCUGGUCAUGAGCUCCUGACCUCAGGUGAUCCGCCUGCCUUGGCCUCCCAAAGUGUUAGAAUUACAGGCAUGAGCCACCGUGCCCAGCCCCUAGGGCCUCUUUUAUAAGGGUACUAAUCCUAUCCGUGUGGGCUCUGCCCUCAUGCUCUAACCACCUCC
rnacentral:lncRNA from 1 species